rnacentral:rRNA from 1 species
GAUGAACGCUAGCGGGAGGCUUAAUACAUGCAAGUCGAGCGGUAGAUUGACUUCGGUUGAUUGAGAGCGGCGCACGGGUGAGUAACGCGUGCGUGACCUGCCCUUAAGAGGGGGAUAGCCCUGGGAAACUGGGAGUAAUCCGCCAUGUGUUUGUGAAGCUGCAUGGUUUUACAAAUAAAGCUGAGGCGCUUAAGGAUGGGCGUGCGUCUGAUUAGGUAGUUGGCAGGGUAACGGCCUACCAAGCCUACGAUCAGUAGGGGGCGUGAGAGCGUGGCCCCCCANACGGGUACUGAGACACGGACCCGACUCCUACGGGAGGCAGCAGUAAGGAAUAUUGGUCAAUGGGCGAAAGCCUGAUGCAGCAACGCCGCGUGCGCGAUGAAGGUCUUCGGAUCGUAAAGCGCUUUUUCUGAGAGAUGAGAAAGGACAGUAUCUCAGGAAUAAGUCUCGGCUAACUACGUGCCAGCAGCCGCGGUAAUG